AAAACAGGAAGUAGUAUGAAACAUGACAGCUGCAGAGGAUUAUAUUAAUCCUAUUUUAAUCUUUUCACUUUAUCAGAGAUGCUGAACCAGAAUAAGAUGCUUCAGUUGAAGGAGUCCAGACCCAAGCAAAAGGUGACAUUCACCAGACGCCAAGGGCAGGAACCACUGUUGCACCAUCACUUGUAGUGCAGCUGUGGAGGCUGGAGAACUUCAUCCAGGGUUUCCUUGAUGACAGAGACCAGAUGAUGACCAUAGGACCUGGAGACCCCUGUGUUUCAGGAGGCUCAGUGCACCUACACCUCUUCGCUCCCUCCAGCCUGCAGUCCAGGCAAAGAGGAGCCUCUGGAUCCCAACCACAUACUGUACAGUAGAGGAAGUGACUGAAUCAUUGCUUCCUGUGUGCUGCUGGGUUUGGAAGCUCUCCAGCUCACUGUCAGCCUUGCUCUGAGCAGAAGACAGUCAAGAUGAGACUUCUCCAAUGUAUAAACAUCUAACACAUGUUUCAAUAAAACAAUUUAAU